rnacentral:rRNA from 1 species
UACGUAGGGUGCGAGCGUUAAUCGGAAUUACUGGGCGUAAAGCGUGCGCAGGCGGUUUUGUAAGCCAGAUGUGAAAUCCCCGGGCUUAACCUGGGAACUGCAUUCGAGACUGCAUUGCUAGAGUAUGGGAGAGGGAAGUGGAAUUUCAGGUGUAGCGGUGAAAUGCGUAGAUAUCUGAAGGAACAUCAGUGGCGAAAGCGACUUCCUGGACCAAUACUGACGCUCAUGUGCGAAAGCGUGGGGAGCAAACAGG